rnacentral:rRNA from 1 species
GACGAAGGAUGCAAGCGUUAUCCGGAUUCAUUGGGUUUAAAAGGGUGCGUAGGCGGACUUGUAAGUCAGUGGUGAAAUCUCUUUGCUUAACAAAGAAACUGCCAUUGAUACUGCAGGUCUAGAGUAUAGAUGACGUUGGCGGAAUAUGACAUGUAGUGGUGAAAUACUUAGAUAUGUCAUAGAACACCGAUUGCGAAGGCAGCUAACGAAACUAUAACUGACGCUGAGGCACGAAAGUGCGGGGAUCAAACAGG